GACAUUCCACCUCAGACACGACCUGUGAGACCCUCUCAAUAAGGGACUCGAACUUACUUUGCCAAAGGAUCCUUGGCCCAGAACCUUGAGGAGCUCAAACUGGGAUGGAUCGGCCUUCUCAGAGCCAGCCUUGACGUGGUGUGUGAUGGAGAUCUCCUUGAGGAUGGCCUCAUCCUGACAGAGGGACAGAGCUGGGCUCUGAUAACGGUCUGUGGUAGACGGCCUGUGGAAUUGUGAAAGACGCCUCCCCGAGACCAAAGCGCUGACUGCUUCUUCAGACAGGGGCAGCCAGCCCGAAGAUUCUCCACAAGCGCUUCUGCCAGGAUUCCCUCAACCCGCCAGCCCCCAUUAACAGGGAAAGAAGCACUGUAGCUACCAGAAGGGACGGGAAGAAGAAAAUGCACUCAGGAUUUCCUUAGUUGAACUGCGUGAGGACCUGAAGCCUCUGAUGAGGGGAAGGAGGGACACACUUAUAUUCCUGACCCUCCCCAGAGCAGCAGGAGGAAAAGCCUAUCGCCACACCAUCUGAUCUUGGUCCUCUCGGGCCUCCACUCAAGGCCUCUUGCUACGGUCAAGCCCACUUGUCUGUCGCUCAUCCUAAGGGCCACUAACACUCGCUUCCCCAGCUGGCAACAUCUGCAGGACCUCCCAGGUGGGAGACAACUGUCCUGCUACAGAGCUGCAGUUAAGAUGCUGUCGCUGCCCAGAGGUGCAGAGACGGUUGAGGGUGAAGACCUUCUGGAUGAAGACAGUCCAGCUGGGUCUUGAAGAUGAACAGGCAUGCGAUAGACAGAAAGGGACAGAAAGGGUCCACGCUGAGAAUGAGCGGUGUAAGCAAGGCCCAUGGGAAGUGGGGUAAUGGCUCCGUGCAAGUCACCUGCUCCCAGGCAAAAUGUCUACCUCAGUAUCUGCCUCUCCCCUGCCAAGAUGAAGGUUCAAACCAUCCCCUUGGAAGUAUGUCUCCGGGCGCGCCAAAUGGGCCAUGGAGAAAGGACACUGUAAACAAAACCUCUUUCUAUUUAGACCACAGGCGCUCCCCAGGGCAGGCUGAAGGAAGAGGGCCCUUCAUGCAUCCCAGGCGCUAAGCAGGUAGUCUGGCCAGUUCCGGUCAUCCACAGAAGCAAGCAUCUCAAUACCUGAGGCUCCCCAUAGCCCAGAGUCACAUCCUGCCCAGGCUGGAAGGCCAGGGGGAGCAUAAGGGAUCCGGGAGGGAUCAGGGUUUCAUAAACAGGAAGAGAAGAGGGGAGGCGGGAGAUACUCUGCUCUCAAAAUAGACCUGCAGGCACUUCAAAGGGGUCCAGCUCCGGAGAUAGCCAGAGGAGGGGGCCUGGGUUACCCAGGCUGCUCCCAGGAGGGGAGGGGGGAGUGUAAGUGGAGCCCUGAUGUUUCUGAGUAUCCAAAGAGCGUUUGCCUACACCAUCAAUGCCAAACUCCAACUCUGUCCAUCUGUAAUGGAUAAAGGAGCCAGCAUUAGAUAGCAACACUGGGUACAGACCUUGAGGAAUACUGUUUGUUGGUUUGGGGUUUUUUUAAGGUUUAUUUAUUGAUUAUGUUAAGUGCACUGUAACUGU